rnacentral:rRNA from 1 species
AUUGAACGCUGGCGGCAUGCCUUACACAUGCAAGUCGAACGGCAGCACGGGAGCAAUCCUGGUGGCGAGUGGCGAACGGGUGAGUAAAGUAUCGGAACGUGCCCAGUCGUGGGGGAUAACGUAGCGAAAGUUACGCUAAUACCGCAUACGAUCUAUGGAUGAAAGCGGGGGAUCGCAAGACCUCGCGCUAUUGGAGCGGCCGAUAUCAGAUUAGGUAGUUGGUGGGGUAAAGGCUCACCAAGCCGACGAUCGGUAGCUGGUCUGAGAGGACGACCAGCCACACUGGGACUGAGACACGGCCCAGACUCCUACGGGAGGCAGCAGUGGGGAAUUUUGGACAAUGGGCGCAAGCCUGAUCCAGCCAUGCCGCGUGCAGGAUGAAGGCCUUCGGGUUGUAAACUGCUUUUGUACAGAACGAAAAGGUUUCUACUAAUACUAGGAGCUCAUGACGGUACUGUAAGAAUAAGCACCGGCUAACUACGUGCCAGCCGCCGCCGUAA